UACGGAGGGUGCAAGCGUUGUCCGGAUUUAUUGGGUUUAAAGGGUGCGUAGGCGGUCUUUUAAGUCAGUGGUGAAAGCCUCCAGCUUAACUGGAGAACUGCCAUUGAUACUGGAAGACUUGAGUACAGACGAGGUAGGCGGAAUUUAUGGUGUAGCGGUGAAAUGCAUAGAUACCAUAAAGAACUCCUAUUGCGAAGGCAGCUUACUAGGCUGUAACUGACGCUGAGGCACGAAAGCGUGGGGAUCAAACAGG
rnacentral:rRNA from 1 species